UAUGCACACUAUUAAAACCGGGCGUCAUCGUUGAUGUUCAGGUGUCGGAAGUGUGUGAGAUUGAGCGGGCCAGGUUUUCGCUAACACCAUGAGGACUGCUGUCCCAUGACUGGGGUUUGAUAGUGACCUGAGCCACAGUU
rnacentral:snoRNA from 1 species